rnacentral:lncRNA from 1 species
UGUUCUUCAAUUUUGGCUUGCUGGAAUGCUAUGGCCUGACUGAGGCUGUCAAGAGCAGGAUUCUCCCCUUCAUCUUCACUUUCUACUACUUCCUCAAUUUCUUCUGGUUCAGGAGCUUUCUUUUUUUUUCUUUUUUUCUUUCUUCUUUGGAGGCUCACGUUCUCCAAGCAUAUUUUUCGGACAGGCAUAACUUAAGUGUCCAUUUUCCCCACAUUCAUAACACUUGGAUUUAUCAAAGUAGUUUCGCCUUCAGAUGAACACAGCUGCUCUUCCAUUGUCAAUACCAAUGCUUGCUUUUAUCACUCUACCAAAUAACUGUUUGUUGUUUAUUGCCC